AACAGAUGUGUCCCGAUGAGUAAGAAGCUCCUUAUAGAAAAGUCAAAACAAGAGAAGAUGGCAUGUAGAGACAAGAGCAUGCAGGACCGCUGUCCGGCAUGGAGCCUCCUUUACUGAACAAUGGACAGAUGGUUAUGCUUUCCAAAACCUUAUCAAGCAACAGGAAAGGAUAAAUUCACAGAGAGAAGAGAUAGAAAGACAGCGGAAAAUGUUAGCAAAGCGGAAGCCUCCUGCCAUGGGUCAGGCCCCUCCAGCAACCAAUGAGCAGAAACAGCGGAAAAGCAAGACCAAUGGAGCUGAAAAUGAAACGUAUGUUCUUUAUUGAUGUAAAAUAAAAUACCACCUCCACCCCCAAAUACAAACGUCUUCUGAAUACCCCUGGAAACAACUAUAAAUUACAGGGUCCCUAGAGUUAAAGAUUUCUUUUCAGGUCAUGUCUACAUAUCAGGGAAUUAAAAAGGAUACAUAAUGAAGAUAAUUCACAAUUUAAAGAUCAUCCAACGCUGAAUGACAGAUAUUUGUUGGGUAGAGGUGGUUUCAGUGAAGUUUACAAGGCAUUUGAUUUAACAGAGCAGAGAUAUGGAGCUGUGAAAAUUCACCAGUUAAAUAAAAACUGGAGAGACAAGAAAAAGGAGAAUUACCACAAGCAUGCAUGUAGGGAAUACCGGAUUCACAAAGAACUGGAUCAUCCCAGAAUAGUUAAGCUAUAUGAUUACUUUUCACUGGACACUGACUCGUUUUGUACAGUAUUAGAGUACUGUGAAGGAAAUGAUCUGGACUUCUACCUGAAACAGCACAAAUUAAUGUCGGAGAAAGAGGCCCGAUCCAUUAUUAUGCAGAUUGUAAAUGCUUUAAAGUACUUAAAUGAAAUAAAACCUCCUAUCAUACACUAUGACCUCAAACCAGGUAAUAUCCUUUUAGUAAAUGGUACAGCAUGUGGAGAGAUAAAAAUUACAGAUUUUGGCCUUUCCAAGAUCAUGGAUGAUGAUAGCUACAAUUCAGUGGAUGGCAUGGAGCUAACGUCACAAGGUGCUGGUACUUAUUGGUAUUUACCACCAGAGUGUUUUGUGGUUGGGAAAGAACCGCCAAAGAUCUCAAAUAAGGUUGACGUCUGGUCAGUGGGUGUGAUCUUCUACCAGUGUUUUUAUGGAAGGAAGCCUUUUGGCCAUAACCAGUCCCAGCAAGAUAUUCUCCAAGAGAAUACUAUUCUUAAAGCUACUGAAGUACAGUUCCCGCCAAAGCCAGUAGUAACACCUGAAGCAAAGGCAUUUAUCCGGCGAUGCUUGGCCUAUCGAAAGGAGGACCGCAUCGAUGUUCAGCAGCUGGCCUGUGACCCCUACUUGCUGCCUCAUAUCCGAAAGUCAGUCUCCACGAGUAGCCCUGCCGGAGCUGCUAUUGCAUCAACCUCUGGGGCAUCCAAUAACAGUUCUUCAAAUUGAGACCAACUCCAAGGCCACAAACUGUUCAACACACAAAGUGGACAAAUGGCAUUCAGCAGUGGGUUUGGAACAUAGUGAAUCCAAAUGGAUCUCAUGAAACCUGUACCAGGUGCUUUUAUUUUCUUGCUUUUUUUCCCAUCCAUAGAGCAUGACAGCAUCGAUUCUCAUUGAGAAGAAGCCUUGGGCAGCUCUGGCCAGGCCUCAUAGGAAAAGGCCCCGCCCGAGGUUCCGGCGUCAACGGUCACUGUAUAUGGCUGCUCUGAGUGAGGAAAAAAUUAAAAAGAAAAACUGGUUCCAUGUACUGUGAACUUGAAAACAUGCAGACUCAGGGGGUUCCCUGAUGCAAAGCUUCAGAUGAAGAAUGUGGACUUGAAAAUACAGACUGGGCUAGUCCAGUGUCUAUAUUUAAACUUAUUCUUUUCUUUUAAUAAAGUUUAGGUAACAUCUCCUGAAAAGCUUGUAGCACAAAGGCUCAGCUGGGGAUGGUGUUUGACUUCGGAGGAAAAAAGUUGCUAUUGCCCGUUAAAGGCACUAGAGUUAGUGUUUUAUCCCUAAAUAAUUUCAAUUUUUAAAAAACAUGCAGCUUCCCUCUCCCCCUUUUUAUUUUUGAA